AUUGAACGCUGGCGGCAGGCUUAACACAUGCAAGUCGAGCGAGCGGCGGACGGGUGAGUAAUGUCUGGGAAACUGCCUGAUGGAGGGGGGUAACUACUGGAAACGGUAGCUAAUACCGCAUACCAUCGGAUGUGCCCAGAUGGGAUUGGCUAGUAGGUGGGGUAAUGGCUCACCUAGGCGACGAUCCCUCUCUGGUCUGAGAGGAUGACCAGCCACACUGUAACUGAUACACGGUCCAGCCUCCUACGGGAGGCAGCAGUGGGGAAGAUUGCCCAAUGGGCGAAAGCCUGAUGCAGCCAUGCCGCGUGGGUGAAGAAGGCCUUCGGGUUGUAAAGCACUUUCAGCGAGGAGGCGUUACUCGCAGAAGAAGCACCGGCUAACUCCGUGCCAGCAGCCGCGGUAAUUC
rnacentral:rRNA from 1 species